rnacentral:SRP_RNA from 1 species
GUCCUUGAAAAAGGGCGGUGGCGCAUGCCUGUAGUCCCCGCUUCUCCGGAGGCUGAGGCAGGAGGACGGCUGGAACCCAGGAGCUCUGGGCUGUAGCGCUGUGCUGGCUGCGUGUCCACCCUGAGUUCAGCCCCAAUAUGGUGACCUCCUGGGUGCGGGGGACCACCAAGUUGCCUAAGGAGGGGUGAACCGGUCUAGGUCGGAAACGGAGCAGGUCAAACUCUCGUGGUGAUGAGAAAGGACAGUUACAGACACGGAGGACUUGGUGGUCCCAGCUCCAGGCUGGAUCUGGGCAUGCCUUUCCUCU